GUAGUCAACCUCUACUUCAAUCUCGCAGCUGGCGAAGGAGUGUUCCUUCCCACCUUAUGUGAAGCACAGCGAAUGAAUGCUCACCGUGAGAUGGCGGAGAUACGAAGCAGCGGUGCAGCAGCAGUGAUGGCAUAUGAGUGGUUUGGAGAGUCUCCUGCUUAUCCUCCGAGCGACAUCCCUGUCGACGUCUUCCCCCCGGCAGAAUCACCCAUCAUGCUGUAGUUUGUGUAACAUGUAGUAAUUAUAUUGCCGCCAUGGGAAUCUUCUUCCCUCACGACUCGCAAUUGAUUCCCAGGAACACCAUAUGCCAAGCUCUCAUCUUAGAAGUAUUGCUCCCAUACAAAGGGAUCUUAAUGAAUAAAGUAUGGGUUGGUGAUGAACA